UACGUAGGGGGCAAGCGUUAUCCGGAUUUACUGGGUGUAAAGGGAGCGUAGACGGCUGUGCAAGUCUGAAGUGAAAGGCAUGGGCUCAACCUGUGGAUUGCUUUGGAAACUGUGCAGCUAGAGUGUCGGAGAGGUAAGUGGAAUUCCUAGUGUAGCGGUGAAAUGCGUAGAUAUUAGGAGGAACACCAGUGGCGAAGGCGGUUUACUGGACGAUGACUGACGUUGAGGCUCGAAAGCGUGGGGAGCAAACAGG
rnacentral:rRNA from 1 species